AGAAUCUGAAAAGAAAUGGCAAUGAGCAGAGGUCUCCCACCCUCACGUGGAGGACAGGGUCCGCAAAGAUGAGUCACAUUGUAGAACUUCACUAUUCAGAGAAAGCCCCUUCACAUGCAGAAUCUCGCUGGUCUCUCAGGACAAUCCUGUGAGACCCUGCACUGAUGGAUCCGCUGGUGCCACCCAGAUCAAUAAACUGGCUCAUCUGAUCUUGUGGCCCCCAUCCAGGAACCAACUCAGAGCAAGAAGACAGCUUCAACUCCCUAUGCCUUCAUCUCUGAUACGACCUGUCAACACGCCCCACUCCCUGGCCCCCUACCUGCCAAAUUAUCCUUAAAAAAACUCCCAUCCCUAAAUUUUCCGGGAGAAUGAUUUGAGUAGUUAACUCUGGUCUCUCGUUCUGGCUCUGCAUGAAUUAAACUCUUUCUCUAUUGCAA
rnacentral:lncRNA from 1 species